rnacentral:rRNA from 1 species
GUGCAGUGGCGGCGUGCUAAUACAUGCAAGUCGAGCGGACCGACGGGAGCUUGCUCCCUUAGGUCAGCGGCGGACGGGUGAGUAACACGUGGGUAACCUGCCUGUAAGACUGGGAUAACUCCGGGAAACCGGGGCUAAUACCGGAUGCUUGAUUGAACCGCAUGGUUC